CCUACGGGGGCUGCAGUGGGGAAUAUUGGACAAUGGGCGAAAGCCUGAUCCAGCCAUGCCGCGUGUGUGAAGAAGGCCUUCGGGUUGUAAAGCACUUUCAGUGGGGAAGAAAGCCUUGGGGCUAAUACCCUCGAGGAAGGACAUCACCCACAGAAGAAGCACCGGCUAACUCCGUGCCAGCAGCCGCGGUAAUACGGAGGGUGCGAGCGUUAAUCGGAAUUACUGGGCGUAAGGCGCGCGUAGGCGGUCUGAUAAGCCGGUUGUGAAAGCCCCGGGCUCAACCUGGGAACGGCAUCCGGAACUGUCAGGCUAGAGUGCAGGAGAGGAAGGUAGAAUUCCCGGUGUAGCGGUGAAAUGCGUAGAGAUCGGGAGGAAUACCAGUGGCGAAGGCGGCCUUCUGGACUGACACUGACGCUGAGGUGCGAAAGCGUGGGUAGCAAACAGGAUUAGAUACCCCGGUAGUC
rnacentral:rRNA from 1 species